rnacentral:lncRNA from 1 species
AUCCGUGCCAAGUUCACGUACCUUUGCAGUUAACUCCAUAUAAAAAGGUAAAGUUGCACGUGUACUAAAAAGCCAGUUCAAACUCUUCAUGAAUAUAUAUUGAUAUGUAAUAAAAUAAAAAGGAUAAUAAAUUUUAUAGUACAUGACCACACCUAACUUGCAGUUAUGAGAGUAUACGCUGUAGUCUCAAAAUAUAUACCCGGCCUUGAUCAUCAAGGACGUAUCAGCAACUAUCACUCUUCUAGUAAAAAAAUAACCUCGCAACUGCUUUCUUUUCCACUAAACAAAACCAUCGGGUCCCUCGAUAAAAAUAAAAUCACACGAGCUUCUAUAUCUUGCACCAGGACGUAUCAGCAACUAUCACUCUUCUAGUAAAAAAAUAACCUCGCAACUGCCUUCUUUUCCACUAAACAAAACCAUCGGGUCCCUCGAUAAAAAUAAACAUGAAGUAUACGUGGGAUGGUGGAGCGAUGAGUAUACAUAGUUCCCCUCACUUGUUUUGCAUAUAUACUUCAAAUGAAACAAUGUUCUGACUACAUGGCAUGGCAUGGC